rnacentral:rRNA from 1 species
AUUGAACGCUGGCGGCAGGCUUAACACAUGCAAGUCGAGCGGGGGAAGGUAGCUUGCUACUGGACCUAGCGGCGGGCGGGUGAGUAAUGCUUAGGAAACUGCCUAGUAGUGGGGGACAACAUCGCGAACGGGGUGCUAAUCCCGCAUACGUCCUACGGGAGAAAGCAGGGGAUCUUCGGACCCGGCGCUAAUAGAUGAGCCUCGGUCUGAUUAGCUAGUUGGGGGGGUAACGGCCUACCACGGCGACGAGCAGUAGCGGGACUGAGAGGAUGAUCCGCCACACGGGGACUGAGACACGGCCCAGGCUCCUACGGGAAGCAGCAGUAGGGAUUAUUGGACAAUGGGGAGAACCCUAAUCCAGCCAUGCCGCGUGUGUGAAGAAGGCCUUAUGGUUGUAAAGCACUUUAAGCGAGGAGGAGGCUACUUUAGUUAAUACCUAGAGAUAGUGGACGUUACUCGCAGAAUAAGCACCGGCUAACUCUGUGCCAGCCGCCGCGGUAA